rnacentral:rRNA from 1 species
UACAGAGGAUGCAAGCGUUAUCCGGAAUGAUUGGGCGUAAAGCGUCUGUAGGUGGCUUUUUAAGUCCGCCGUCAAAUCCCAGGGCUCAACUCUGGACAGGCGGUGGAAACUACCAAGCUGGAGUACGGUAGGGGCAGAGGGAAUUUCCGGUGGUGCGGUGAAAUGCGUAGAGAUCGAAAAGAACACCAACGGCGAAAGCACUCUGCUAGGCCGACACUGACACUGAGAGACGAAAGCUAGGGGAGCGAAUGGG